rnacentral:lncRNA from 10 species
ACGGAGUUUCACUCUUGUCGCCCAGGCUGUAGUGCAGUGGUGCGAUCUCAGCUCACCGCAACCUCCGCCUCCAGGAAAAUCAGUCAAGAUUUCUACUAGAUCAUCGCAGUUUUGUUGACCUAGAGGUAUCUCGGGGGAGCUUUGUGCCUUGAUGGAUCAAGUUCAUCAUAUGCAGCACUCAAAAUGGCAGCAUCCUUCGGACCUCACCACGCGAAACUACGCCCGCCGACAGAAACAUCUGCAAAG